UUUCCGUAGGUGAACCUGCGGAAGGAUCAUUAGUGAAUAGGAUGAUGAUGGAUUUAUAUACUGGGGGUUUAUUGAGUUAUUCAACCAGCACACGUUAUUACAAACUAACAACACACAACAUACAGAAGCACCUUGCUGCAAUGGAUCUCUCGGCUCUU
rnacentral:misc_RNA from 1 species